GCAAGUCGAACGGUAGCACAGAGUGCUUGCUCUCGGGUGACGAGUGGCGGACGGGUGAGUAAUGUCUGGGAAACUGCCUGAUGGAGGGGGAUAACUACUGGAAACGGUAGCUAAUACCGCAUAACGUCGCAAGACCAAAGAGGGGGACCUUCGGGCCUCUUGCCAUCAGAUGUGCCCAGAUGGGAUUAGCUAGUAGGUGGGGUAACGGCUCACCUAGGCGACGAUCCCUAGCUGGUCUGAGAGGAUGACCAGCCACACUGGAACUGAGACACGGUCCAGACUCCUACGGGAGGCAGCAGUGGGGAAUAUUGCACAAUGGGCGCAAGCCUGAUGCAGCCAUGCCGCGUGUAUGAAGAAGGCCUUCGGGUUGUAAAGUACUUUCAGCGGGGAGGAAGGUGUUGUGGUUAAUAACCGCAGCAAUUGACGUUACCCGCAGAAGAAGCACCGGCUAACUCCGUGCCAGCAGCCGCGGUAAUACGGAGGGUGCAAGCGUUAAUCGGAAUUACUGGGCGUAAAGCGCACGCAGGCGGUCUGUCAAGUCGGAUGUGAAAUCCCCGGGCUCAACCUGGGAACUGCAUUCGAAACUGGCAGGCUAGAGUCUUGUAGAGGGGGGUAGAAUUCCAGGUGUAGCGGUGAAAUGCGUAGAGAUCUGGAGGAAUACCGGUGGCGAAGGCGGCCCCCUGGACAAAGACUGACGCUCAGGUGCGAAAGCGUGGGGAGCAAACAGG
rnacentral:rRNA from 1 species